rnacentral:rRNA from 1 species
GAUGAACGCUAGCGGCAGGCAUAAUACAUGCAAGUUGAACGGGAUUCAGAUAGCAAUAUUUGAUGAGAGUGGCGCACGGGUGCGUAACACGUAUGCAACUUACCUUAAACUGGGAGAUAGCCCGUGGAAACAUGGAUUAAUAUCCCAUAGUAUAAAGAACAGGCAUUUGUUUUUUAUUAAAGCUCCGGCGGUUUAAGAUGGGCAUGCGCGUCAUUAGCUAGAUGGAGAGGUAACGGCUCGCCAUGGCAACGAUGACUAGGGGGUCUGAGAGGAUGUCCCCCCACACUGGUACUGAGACACGGACCAGACUCCUACGGAGGCAGCAGUAGGGAAUAAUGGGCAAUGGACGCAAGUCUGACCCAGCCAUGCCGCGUGCAGGAAGACGGCCCUCUGGGUUGUAAACUGCUUUUAUCAGGGAAGAAACCCUUCUACGUGUAGGAGGCUGACGGUACCUGAGGAAUAAGGAUCGGCUAACUCCGUGCCAGCACG